GGUUCUCUGGCUGCCAUGGCACUCAAUCAAACCACCUAGAAUGGACUGGCCGAGACCAGACUGGGUACCAAGCAGAGAAGUGCAGAGGAAGGCACUGGGAGAGCACCAGGUAAACUGAAGGCUACUUGUCACUCCCACUUGUGCCCAAAGAGCCUUGCCACAUCUUCCCUCCUCACUGGAAAGACAGCACUCUUCUUCUGUGUUAAGUAUUCGGUUUUGUGAUUUGUCUUUCAGAACUGGAAAUAGAGCGGCCAUUUGGAUUUGGGCAGGAAGCAGCCGAGCACAGCUUUGGAUCCUUCUUUAGGGAAAUCGAGUUAUGGAUUUAUGGUCCCGGUCAAGCUCAGCCCAUCCCCAGCCAGGGGCGGGCUCAGCGAGCAGCAAGAGUUCUGGUGGUGGCGUCGGCGGCAGUAGCAGCGGCAGCGGUAGCAGCGGCAGCGGCAGCCUGGUCCUCUGACUCUCUUCGGUGACGGGUAUUCUUGGGUGGAUAAUACGGAUUACGUUGUUAUUGCUUAAGAAUACGCGUAGUCGAGGAGAGUACCAGCGGCAGGGGGGCAGCGGCCGCCCUCCCCAGCCCACCAGCUGGCCACUAAACGCCCGUGGUUGCCAAGGACGAGUCUCAAACACCAACAACUCAAGACACGUCCCCCUCUCAGGUCAGCUGCGAAGGGACGGGAGCAAGAGAGAGCCUCCCCCUCCUUCUACUUCCAGUUUUUCUGUUUGUUUGUUUCAAAUAUUAAUGGACGAUGAAACAGCACGGAUUUUUCACCUCCUAGAGAAGAAAAAGCCAUGGCCACCAAUCCCCUCAAACAUGCACUCCUGGGGACAAUCCUGGGGACUCCUGGGGACAAUCGCACUUGGCAGAAGUUGGCAUGUCCAAGAUGGGGCUGGAAGGAUGACCCAGAGUGGAAGGCGCGGGCCAGGGCUCCAGGUCUCAGCUCUCCCGGCGUCGGACCACACAGCUUUGCCACCUUUGCACCUGGCCUUUCCCUCUUGUGAGCCAUUUGGGACCGUCCCAUAGAGGCGCUUCAAAGAUGGGAGGACUGAGUACUGGGGACUAGAACGUACCGGGCACCCAGAAGAUUCUACUAGUGCGGCCAUACACUAAGCAGGUUUCCUCCCUGCGUGGUGAUCGUUGGUUAUGCACGGGCUGCGCAAGAAGACUGAAUUCUUGUUAAGUGAAAACUACAGGAGAAAAAUCAAAUAAACUUAGAGUCCUGAGAAGCUCUCCCUCUCGUCGCUGUGGGACCGCUCUAAGCUGAGUUGCAACUCUGACACCUUCUCCCCCUGGAGGACAGGCCUUUCCCAGUCACGAAGUGAAUGUGCCCCUCUGGGCUCUUGCCCACAGGAACAGUCUGAACCCUGGAGAGACUGACAACGAGGUGACUUCAAGGAGGCAGAACACUCUCAUGCUUCCCCAUCUAGGGUUUCGCCUUUCUUCUAAUAUUUAGGAUUCCCAGUGAAGGGUACUCCACAUACACCCUCUCCCUACCCCUAAUCCCCCUCCAUUGUGUCUGAUCCCACAAUUUCUCCCAGGAUAUCUCUACUCAGAGCUUUUGCGCUCAGUGAACGUUGUUGUCUGCAGGGAAAACGGGUGGAGCCCUUCUCA
ensembl:lncRNA